CUACGGAGGGGGCUAGCGUUGUUCGGAAUUACUGGGCGUAAAGCGUACGUAGGCGGACUGAUCAGUUGGGGGUGAAAUCCCAGGGCUUAACCCUGGAACUGCCUUCAAUACUGUCAGUCUUGAGAUUGUAAGAGGUGAGUGGAAUUCCUAGUGUAGAGGUGAAAUUCAUAGAUAUUAGGAGGAACACCAGUGGCGAAGGCGGCUCACUGGUCCAAUACUGACGCUGAGGUACGAAAGCGUGGGGAGCAAACAGGAUUAGAAACCCUAGUAGUCC
rnacentral:rRNA from 1 species